UUACGUGACGAAGCCCGCGCCAAAGUGGACAAUAAGGGAUAAGUCACGAGUCAUGAUGCCAAACGCCAGCUCAGCUGGCGUUUUUUU
rfam:Kluyvera ascorbata ATCC 33433 GKAS.assembly.067, whole genome shotgun sequence.